CCUACGGGAGGCAGCAGUGAGGAAUAUUGGUCAAUGGACGCAAGUCUGAACCAGCCAUGCCGCGUGCAGGAAGACGUCUCUAUGAGUUGUAAACUUCUUUUGUACGAGGGUAAACGCAGAUACGCGUAUCUCUCUGAGAGUAUCGUACGAAUAAGGAUCGGCUAACUCCGUGCCAGCAGCCGCGGUAAUACGGAGGAUUCAAGCGUUAUCCGGAUUUAUUGGGUUUAAAGGGUGCGUAGGCGGUCGGAGAAGUUAGAGGUGAAAUCCCGAGGCUCAACUUCGGAACUGCCUCUGAUACUGUUGGGCUAGAGAGUAGUUGAGGUACGCGGAAUGGAUGGUGUAGCGGUGAAAUGCAUAGAGAUCAUACAGAACACCGAUUGCGAAGGCAGCUUACCAAGCUACUUCUGACGUUGAGGCACGAAAGCGUGGGGAGCAAACAGGAUUAGAUACCCUUGUAGUC
rnacentral:rRNA from 1 species